UAGCUGGUUUUCUGCGAUUGCAUAUAUAUGUGUGUCUAUUAUUUUCAAGUACUAACGUUUAAUUAUUUAUUUACAAGAUACAUCGCAACACGAAGUGUCCUGUGCGUGAAGUGUGUUACAAUUGAUGUUGUGGCUGAUUAAUUUCCACUAGUGGUGUAUGGAAUAAUUUGAUCGACGCGAACAAUUUUGUGACUUAUGGACCUUCGUUUCUCUGGAUUCUUUUGCUACCUCAUAAAUUGUUUACAAGUUGUUCGCGCUGUUUUGCGACUAAGCAGAGCUUGAAAAACGUGCUAUUCGCGCUAGGAAUACAAUUUCCUUUUCAGGAGUCGUCCACAAGCAUCGGAUGGACGUGAUGCAUCUUUACUAGAGGCAUUUGCACGUUUUAUAACCUGACAGACAACACAUCCGAAGUUUCUUUAUCCUUAUCAUGUCAUCGCAUCUUUGACAAAGUAUUAUCGGUCUAGAACAAAUAAAUGCGUGUCAAGAUGUGGUCAUCACAAGGUAAUAACUCAAACUCAAAUGCAUCAUCCAAAGAAGAAAAGAACCUACGUACAUUGGGUAUGACAUCUGCUAUUAGUGUAGCAGAACCAAAGCCCAGUGAUUUUACUAGGACCAAUGAAUUAAAGGAGGCAUUAAAGCCAUAUAAUGUAUUUGAGUCUGAGGCAGAGUUAAAUCACAGAAUGGAAAUUUUAAGUAAAUUAAACACACUGGUGAAACAAUGGAUACGGGACACAAGUAUUGCCAGAAAUAUGCCAUCCAGCGUAGCUGACCAAGUUGGUGGUAAAAUAUAUACUUUCGGUUCAUAUAGGUUAGGAGUACAUCACAAAGGUGCUGAUAUAGAUGCUCUCUGUGUUGUACCACGGCACAUCUAUAGGUCGGAUUAUUUUGCAUCAUUUUUUGAAUUACUGAAAAUGCAAGAAGAAGUUACAGAUUUAAGGGCAGUAGAAGAAGCAUUUGUACCAGUAAUAAAAAUGAAUUUUGAUGGUAUUGAAAUUGAUAUGCUGUUUGCUAAACUGUCACUUAAAGAAAUACCUGAUUCAAUGGACCUUAAAGAUGACAUGCUUCUAAAAAAUCUGGAUCAAAAAUGUGUAAGAAGCCUUAACGGUUGUAGAGUAACAGAUGAAAUACUACGUUUAGUACCCAAUAUAGAAAAUUUUAGGCUGGCACUUAGAGCCAUUAAGUUAUGGGCAAAACGACAUGGGAUAUAUAGUAAUGUAUUAGGCUAUCUAGGUGGUGUGUCUUGGGCAAUGUUGGUUGCAAGAACAUGCCAACUUUAUCCUAAUGCUGUUGCAGCAACAUUAAUAGAGAAAUUUUUCCUUGUAUUUUCACAAUGGAAGUGGCCACAACCAGUUCUUUUAAAGCAACCUGACAAUGUUAAUUUAGGCUAUCCAGUUUGGGAUCCCAGAGUGAAUAUAUCAGAUAGAUAUCACUUAAUGCCAAUAAUCACACCGGCAUAUCCUCAACAAAAUUCAACUUUCAACGUAUCAGUAUCAACAAGAACAAUUAUGCAAGAGGCAUUCGAAAAUGGACUUUCGAUAACAGAAGAAAUUAUCAUGGGGAAAGCAACGUGGGACAAAUUAUUUGAACCUCCAAAUUUCUUUGGAAAAUAUAAACAUUAUAUUGUACUAUUGGCGAGAAGUUUGACUGCCGAAGAUCAGCUUGAAUGGUGUGGACUUGUUGAGUCUAAAAUACGACAUUUGAUAGGUACUCUGGAAAGAAAUCCACACAUUACAUUGGCACAUGUGAAUCCGGAGGCAUUUCCACCGCUAAAACCAGAGCCGGAGGGACACUGCUCCAUGUGGUUUAUCGGCUUGUUAUUUGCUAAAAGCGAAAAUUUAAACAUUGAUCUAACGUAUGAUAUAAAAUCGUUCGUGGACUCAAUUCUGAGGCAAGCGGAACAGUUGAACUUGUUAAAAGAUGGUAUGUGGAUUGAAGCAAAACACGUAAAGAGAAAGGAUCUUCACACUUAUGUAUCUCCUAGUUUGCUCAAACGAGAAAGAAAAAUUUCUGGCAAUGUACAUAAAAACGGAAAUAUUGCUGGGAAUGGUAACACUGGUAGCGUUUCUCCACGAAACCAAGGGGAUUUGACGAACAGGAAGAGACUAUCCGACCAAAGCACAGACACAUACGGAAAAAAGCGAAGGGCCACCGAUAAUGAGCAAGCAGUAGCCCAUGUAGGGAGAAGACGGGUCGCUAGUCGUUCAGUCUUGUGGGGAAGACAGUAAUUCCGGAUUUAGCUUGGAUGAAUACAAACAAACGUUGACAGCUACUAAGGAUGAAGGGCCUACUGGUGCAUCUACAGUAGCACAGGAAGGAUACGUUUGCACUUGACCACUGCAGGAUUACUACCUCACGUCGAUCCACAGAUGCUCCUCUGGGCCAUCUAGACUGUAAUCGCUUCUCAUGCAACCAUCCACUGCCCACUGUAAGUCCCCUGUUUCGUAAAAACAAAGCAACGUCAUGCGUUGGAGAAAACUACCCGUUGGAGUCAAUCGAUGCACGAUUAUGUGACAGACGCUCUAAUUUUAAUAUUUAUGAACAACAUCAACAGUCAAUGGAAACAAUUGGACAACAAUGAAAAAAAGCCACUAACAAAUGAUUGUGCCAGUGUCUGUGAUGUUACUUUUUUAUCAUAAAAAUCGCGUUGGUCAUUUUGGAAAGUCGCGACCGAAGAGUUAGUAAUAACCAAAUGGAGCAUUGCUAUGUCUCUAAGGUUCAUAAUUUUUUUAUAUUUCAUUUUGUACAUAUCACUUAUAAUAAUUUUUAUCCAUAAAAUUAUUAAAAAAAGAAAGAAAAAAAUUAAAAUAAAAGGAAAAGGAAAAAAGAUAAAAGAGACACGGUGUCAGGUUUAGGAAAAUAAUUCGUGUCAUUGCGCUGAAGUGUGAAUAGGUAAUGAUAUUUUGAUUAAAUGCUUCUAUUAGGAUUUUCAGCUAAAUGAAAAGAAAAAGUAAGAAAGAAAAGAUUCGAUGUUGCGAGGAAGAAACGUAUUCUUGUAUAAAAAGCAUUUCUUUAAUGCAUAAGUAGAUAAAAGAUAAAAAAAAGGAUGUACGUUUCAGUUGUAAAUAAUUCAUGCAACAAAUCGUUACUCUCGCGUCGGUGUAAAUUAUAUGAAACAAACAGUGUCUCUUUAAGUUUGUAACAGUAUAAUCGUAGUAUGAUAGUAGAUCUUAGUUUCUUUAAUUAUUUUAUAAUAUUUUUCAACUAUUUAUAUUAUCUAUACUAAACGAUUAUCUCUCUUGAAUAUUAGUUGCUGUACGAGCUUAAUUCUAAUAUAUGCGGCAUUCUCUAUAUUUUUCACAUAAGAUGCCUGAAAAAAUUAUUUUUUUCUUUAUCGUAACCUAUCGAGUAACAGAAGGAAAAUCACCGGCACUGGCAUAAGAAAUUGAAUGUUUCAUUUACAGAAGAAUCAUCGAUUAUAGCAUUAAUUAGAUUCAAAUAUAUGGUUACUCAUAGUUAAUAUUCUGUAAAUGAAACACCUGUAAUUAAGCCAUUGACUAUCUUUGUUAACGAUCGUGUUACGUAGAAGAUAUGUUUCGUAUGAAGAGUCGCUUUUUAGUUUUUAUUCACAGAAAACGAAGUUAUAGCUUUAACAAUGCAACAUGGGACUGGCAUCUGGAUUAUUCAAAUCAUCUAUAUCACCUAUUGGUGAGUUUUUCAGGUGUUCGACUGCCUUCAGUUUCCUUUCAGUUUAGAAUUAUAUCCUGUAAUGACCCCGAUUCUAUCUUUUUUAUCGUUUCAUUGCUUUCCUUUACGAAUUACCAACUGUGUUAAAGGCAUGUCGGUUAUUAACACACGUUUCGAGGUGUUUGAUGUUCACUCUUUAAUAAUAAUAAUAUAUGUAUAAGUAUCGAUACAAACGAUACAUUGAAAUGUAUAGGUUAAUCUCAGAAACUAAGUAUUUGCAGGGUAAUCUUCGUGAUAUAUAUUUACAUACAAAUUAUGAUUUUUGUAUCGACUCGUGUAUUAAUAUCGCGACACAAAUUAAGUAGUUGUUUCUACAUUCAUACAAUUAUUAUCAUUUAUUUUCAUACCACAUUCUAUAUUUUUGUUUCAUAAGUCUUUUUCGAAAAUAUAUGAUUCGAUUAAGACUUAUUUCGAUACUCUGCGAAUACUAUAGUUACUUCUAUUGAGAUUAGGGACCAUUUCGUUAUUUGUACAUAUUCGUCGUAAUCUUGAGAUCAUUUCAUUUCCUUAUACGGCUUCUUUCCUCGUGUAUGGUUUACGUUGCGCCAAUUGAAGUGUAAAUGUAUAGUCGAAAAAUUAUGCUGUAUUAGAAAAUGGCUUUCCUUCUUUCUUUCCGUUAUAGCUUCAGUUAUGGUAUAAUUAGAAUAGUGUAUAAUAGAUAAGCAAUAUGUUAUAUUAUUUAUAGCGUACUCUAUCAGUUUGUUAUGUUAUCCACUCUGUUCGAUUAAUACGAGCAUUCGAGAGUUUUACAGACCUAGGCAAAUGUACAUAAAAAUUCCGAUUUAUAUGUAAACUAAGAUUUUUUAAUCCAGAAUAAAAAUUUUUCUUACAAAAAAAAAAUAUGGACAAUCUAUUAUGUUUUCCGCUACGAAGAAUAUUAUUUAUUCUGCUGUUUAUAUGAAUUGCUUGCUUUAUAUGUAAAUAUUUCAUUCCGAUAUGAGAAUGGAUCUCGAUUCGAUGUUACACAUUUUAACAUUUAAAAAAAAGAAAAAAAAGAAAAAAGAUAUUUAUAUCGUUAGUGAUUAAUCAUUUCUAUUCUGUAUUAAUUUUACAUUUCUUAGAUGUAACAAAGAUCAUAGAAACAAAGAGUUAUAUUUGCAAUAUUAUUUCGGACUCGUUUUACGAAAAGGUAUUUUCUUCUUUUGCUUUCAUAGUUGAACACAUUAAACUCUAUUCAUUAAUCUCAGCUUAGUGUUACAUUAGUGAAUUACAUUUAUUUUUAUCAGAUUUAACACUUGCGAUUUUGUUUUAUUUGGAUAACUUCCCGUGAAUUUUUGUCGUACAUCGAUUAUAAAAUCAUGUUUUCUCGAUAUAAUUUCAAUUAAAAUUUGACAGCUAUUAUAUUUCUCGAUUUCACAAUAAAAUACUAUUACAAAUCUAGUGGUAAUGAUCUUGGGUGGCAACUAUUUCAAUGUUGUAUCUAAAAAAAUACUUUCUUGUGAUGAUUGAAUUACGAAGUAUUCUCGUAUUCUCGUUUAGCUUGAUAUUGCUAGUAGUUAUUGAUAUUGCUGAUAGUUAUUUUCAAAAACUGACCCCAAAGCAGUGAUAAAGUCAUAAAAAGCUCACAUAAUAUGCAGAGAAGUGCCUCACAACAUACUUACAUUUCGUAAUUAAUCGAUAGUUUAAGGAGACCCUCUAUAACGUAUAUCUGCUUUGAAAGUUACAUUUGUUUUAUUUGCUGUUUACUACACGAAUUUAUGUUACCACUGUAUUCUUACGACUCUACAAUCCACUUAUAACAAUGGUCAGUUCCUAUUUCUUGAAUAAGAACGAAGGGUAUAAUCAAUUACAACCUUUAUCCUUAUAGACGAAUUAAAAUCCGGUUAUAGAGGGUUAGUAGUUACACAUUAAAUUUGUGUAAAAAUCUAUGUCUUUUAAUUUUUUUAAUAGAUGCUAGAUGUUUCUCGGUUGCUCGUUUGUGUCUUUUAAUAAAUAAAAUUUUUUAAUUGUCGUAAUACUACUUCCAUAGAUCGAAAAUAUAAAAUACGUUAUUUAUAUUUGACGUAGGUUCCUCUUCUUUAAAUUCAGUUUCUUCCAUUUUUCGCCAUUUCAUAAAAUGGACUCGAAAACGACUAGUUAUCGUGCAAUACAUAAAUUUCUAAGAAUUUUCGACUUAUUCUUUGGUUAAACGUAGCGAUAAUCGAUUAGAAACUUUAAACGUAUACUUGAUCGGGAAAGGGAAAGUUACGAUUAUAGAGAAACAUUUUCUUUGAAAAAAUACACGUUUCGUGAAGCCAAGUGUGCGCUCGUAUAAAUUAGCGUUUCAAAGAGUUAGAAAUCGGCAUACCAAGCUUUGCGCGUAUUUUUUCUAACAAAAUCAUGUCUUUAAUCGAGACUUUUCCAUUGCUUAUUGAUAAUUCUGUUACUAAAUUAAUUUUCCAAGUUUGGACGCGACAGCAAAGAUUUUUCGAGUAUCUGUUAUGAUACGAUUAGAUUAAGUAUGGCAGCUUAUAAUGCUCAAUGAAAAUGCUCAGGAAACAAUUUUCUAUGAUUAAAUCGUAUUACAAUAUCAACGAAUUUCAUAGAAUAAUUAAAAGUUUCAUGCUGCUUAUACUCAAUGAAUAUUUUUUAAAUAGUCCAAACUUUUCUCAUUGAAUAUUUUUGUUCAGCAUUCAGUUUUUGAAAUCUCACACGACUUCUGGAAUUCUCAUUAUCUCUUUAUUACUAAUAUAGUUCUCAAUAAUAUUUACUAAUAUAAUUACAAAGAGAAAACGCUGUACUUUCGUGUAGUCAAUUUACUUAUUGUUAUUAUAGUUAUAAUGAUAACAGUUGCUAUUUUCGUUAAUUAUCACUAAUAUUAUUAUUUAAUUUUUUGCUAUCGAAAUAGGACAUAUAACGAAGAACAAAUGUACAUCAUAAUAGUUCAACGUUAUCUAACGGAGAAAACACGCGAUUGAAAUGACGUGAAUAGUAUCGUGAGAUUUUACACAAUACUAUCAGGCAGAUUAAUAUAAGCAGUGAACAUCAAUAUUAUCCUCGCACGUAGUAACAAUAAGUGGAAGAAGAAAUUCUUUCGUUUCUUAGAAAAAGGAAGAAAAAACAAAUGAGAUCGUGUACUCGAACUCCAUUCACGUAUUUUUUCGUUUCGAAACGUCAGACAUGUCUAUAACACAUUCGUAUAUUCUCGAUCAAUUCUCGAGAACGUCAAGUCGUUCUCUCUGUGUGUCGAUGCGACGUUCUCGAGUCGAUAAACGAAUAAAACAAUUAAAAAGCCCCCCAAAAAGCAAACAAACGAGUAGAUAAAGAUAAAAAACGAAACGGUGAACACACCAUCCGUAGCACACUUCUCUCUUAUACAAUAUAAACGAAUAAACAAGAAAGAAACGAGUAAAAAGGUAAAAACGAAAAAUUCGAAAAAAAUUUCUGAGGGCAAGACUAAGUCUAUCGUUUAGAAACGAGUGUUUUUGAGAGUGCGCGAAAUAGUAAAAAAUUUCAAAAGUUUUUUGACCGAUCUAGAAUUCUUCUCGAGCGUUGUCCUGUAUUAUAACUCUCUUUCUCUCUCUCUCUCUCUCUCUCUCUCUCUCUUUGUCCCUCUCUGUCUUUCUCUUUCUCCCGCUAUUUUUCUCUGUUUCUUGAACACAACGUGAAAAGAACUCAGAACGAAAGACAUUUAGUGAACUCUCGCUUCCACUAACCGCAAACACACAGAGAACAGUACGCACGAACACAUACAUAUAAUUCGAAAUACACAGAGAACAGACAGAAUAUUGUACAUGAAGUAUCGUGUGUACACUUAACGUGCAUAUUCGUACACACAAACACAUACACCAGAGGACCUCGUGCACAGGCAGACGCACGAUUUUAUACGGAACAUAAUUGUGGGAGGUAACCGCGAAUGCAUCUGCGAGGCGUAUUAACAUGUGAACGUGUGAGUCAGUUUUGUCUGAAUGAAGAAAAAAAAGGAAAGAAAGAAAUAAAUAGCAUCGAAUACAUUACCAUGUGUUUAUGUGCUUGUAUAGCAUACACAGGCUGUCACGAUAUACCGACCGACACGGUCCCGUUCCUAAAAAUCUCCAUGCACGCUCGUGCGAAUUGGUAUGGAUUUGAUUUUUAGUUAUCAAGAAUCGUACAUCACGGCCACAGGACACGCAUGUGAACGAAUCGUUCUAAUCGUGGCGAAAUUCUUUUACGUUCUCCGUACCGACGAAGAAGCCGUUUUGUGCCGAUGAUCAACUUUGAGAAAUGAAAAAUGACAACCGCGAGGGAGGAUAGGGUGAAAAAGUGAUUCUCGAUAUACACUAACUUGCUCCGCUGGGAAUGAACACGAGCUAUUAAUAGUCGCUACCGCAGAGUAUCGUUCGAACGGUUUAUUAUUUACCUGUAUUAUCGGUUCAUACUUAUCCUUUAACUUUUCUUUCCUUCUCUUUUUUCUUUUUUUUUUUAUUUUAUAAUCAUCAUGUAUUCGUUUGAAACAAAUUUAUCAGUAUAAUAUACCUUUGUUUAUGAACGUCUAGACGAUUCGGCCAUGAGUACUAAGAAUUCGCUCCAUACCAUCGUACACCGAGUAAGCAACCAACCAUCGUCUGGUUCGUUGUCCCGCGAUCGUAUAAGUCGCGGCCGUGUAUCUCUGCUCUGAAACGAAACGCGUGCAAAGCCUUUGCCGUCUGUUUCUUUUCCAUGUCUGAAUACCUCGUGGAGGAUCAGCCGUGUCUCUCCGAAUCGGCGUCAAAGGUACAUGACGAUGCACACUGUUACUUAAGUUCCUGCCACUGAAAGUGUACACACGUGCUGUAAACGUGCAUGGAUCGCAGCGGACCGUGUGGCGAGAGAUCGGUGUAUCGUGAAGGCCGUAUGCACGUUAGCUGUUACUCCAUUCGUAGGAUCGAGGUCGUUGUAAAGAGAUAACACACGACGUCAGGGUCCACGUGCUUCGACCUGGCAAUAGGGACGAUUAUUUACCGUGAAGCACGAGUUAUAUGCAUAAUUUGUAUCCCCCUCGGCAGUUGUACACUCUGUAUCUUUCUUGAAUAAACCGAAAUAAAUUUUUCUUUUAAUUCCUUCAGCCAA